GCCAUACCGCGUGGGUGAAGAAGGCCUAUCGGGUUGUAAAGCCCUUUUGUUGGGAAAGAAAAGCAGCCAGUUAAUACCUGGUUGUUCUGACGGUACCCAAAGAAUAAGCACCGGCUAACUUCGUGCCAGCAGCCGCGGUAAUACGAAGGGUGCAAGCGUUACUCGGAAUUACUGGGCGUAAAGCGUGCGUAGGUGGUUGUUUAAGUCUGUUGUGAAAGCCCUGGGCUCAACCUGGGAAUUGCAGUGGAUACUGGGCGACUAGAGUGUGGUAGAGGGUAGUGGAAUUCCUGGUGUAGCAGUGAAAUGCGUAGAGAUCAGGAGGAACAUCCAUGGCGAAGGCAGCUACCUGGACCAACACUGACACUGAGGCACGAAAGCGUGGGGAGCAAACAGGAUUAGAUACCCUGGUAGUCCACGCCCUAAACGAUGCGAACUGGAUGUUGGGUGCAAUUUGGCACGCAGUAUCGAAGCUAACGCGUUAAGUUCGCCGCCUGGGGAGUACGGUCGCAAGACUGAAACUCAAAGGAAUUGACGGGGGCCCGCACAAGCGGUGGAGUAUGUGGUUUAAUUCGAUGCAACGCGAAGAACCUUACCUGGCCUUGACAUGUCGAGAACUUUCCAG
rnacentral:rRNA from 1 species